UCUCUGGCAGUUCAAUGGUUAGGAUUUGGCACUUUCACUGCCAAGGCCCCAGGUUCAAUCCCUGGUCAGGGAA
rfam:TPA: Bos taurus chromosome 16, whole genome shotgun sequence.